GGAAUUGAAAGCUAAUAUAUACAUGCAGCAAUGAUCUUGUAAAUCAAAGAAAGGAUAACCUCAAUUCCU
rnacentral:tRNA from 1 species